CCCGGGAACGAAACAGGCCAGGAACGGCCAUUUCCUCGCCUCCAUGGCCCGGAAGACAUUCCGACCUCAUCCUGGCGAGGCGACGACGCGGCGGCGCGGCACAUCCUCGACGGCGACCGGCUCCCGUCCAGCCUCCACCCUCUCCGUCGCCUUCUCCCCAUCGAAGAAGACUUGUCUGCUGCAUUGCGGCGUAGGCUUCUCAGGAUGAUCACCCUGAUGUGCUUCAAUGUAGAUGCAGGAGAUGUUUACCUUCUUAGGUUCUAAUUUAAUUUUUAGCUCAUCAAGACUCUGGUCAUGUUCUAAGGCAGGGUUUUAUGUAAUGUGAGGAUAAUCAUAUGUUGCUUUGUGACUGAGGUUUAUGCAGUCAAUGAGAUUUCUGGCACUAAAGAUAUCCAUGCUGCCUAUACGACUGUGUGUAGUGGCUGCCGCGUGCUGUGAUUCUCUGAACCUGUAAAGCACAGGCCCUGGCCUUCCUGCAGGGACACUUCGAAAAUCAGAAAUCUAAUCCCUUGGUUACCCUGAA